GUACUCAAUUUGGCAGUGCAUAUACUAAAAUUGGAAUGAUACAGAGAAGAUUAGCAUGGCCCCCGCAUAAGGAUGACAUGCAAAUUGAUGAAGCAUGCUAUAUUUUU
rnacentral:snRNA from 1 species